GAAAGACCUACCUGCCUCUAGCAGAGAGUGGUAGUAGGAUCUACUUUGUCACCAGUGACUUGGCCAAAAUCAACAACAUGUACAGAUUCAGUCUGGCUGCCUUCCUUAGAAUCUUCCAGAAAGCUCUCAAGACCAAACAAGACGGCAGUGGGACUGACCACAGAAUCCAAGCCCUGACUCAGAGACUACAGAAUCUGGUGUAUGAAUACGUCUGCCGCUCUCUGUUCAAAGCAGAUCAACUCAUGUUUGCCCUUCACAUGGUGCAUGGAAUGAGACCAGAGAUGUUUGAAUAAAACGACUGGGAGGGUUUCACAGGAAUCCUGGUGUCUGAUGUGAAGUCGGAGAGAGGGCGGGGAUUACCCUCCUGGCUUGAUCAAGAGAGGCACACUGCUGUCACCAAUCUCAAGAACAAUUUCCCAAAGUUGUACCAGGUGCUGAACUUUGAUGAUGGGUCUCUCUGGUCUAACUUCUCCCGUAGGAACGAGUGUGAGAAGGAGUUCCCCUCAGUGAUUGAGAAGCGAGUCACUCUAUUCCAGCAGUUACUUGUAGUCCAGGCAGUCAGGCCAGACAGCCUACAGACUGC